rnacentral:rRNA from 1 species
AAAUUGAAGAGUUUGAUCAUGGCUCAGAUUGAACGCUGGCGGCAGGCCUAACACAUGCAAGUCGAACGGUAACAGGAAGCAGCUUGCUGCUUUGCUGACGAGUGGCGGACGGGUGAGUAAUGUCUGGGAAACUGCCUGAUGGAGGGGGAUAACUACUGGAAACGGUGGCUAAUACCGCAUAACGUCGCAAGACCAAAGAGGGGGACCUUCGGGCCUCUUGCCAUCAGAUGUGCCCAGAUGGGAUUAGCUUGUUGGUGAGGUAACGGCUCACCAAGGCGACGAUCCCUAGCUGGUCUGAGAGGAUGACCAGCCAC